rnacentral:rRNA from 1 species
UUCGGGGAACGAUAACGGCGUCGAGCGGCGGACGGGUGAGUAAUGCCUAGGAAAUUGCCCUGAUGUGGGGGAUAACCAUUGGAAACGAUGGCUAAUACCGCAUGAUGCCUACGGGCCAAAGAGGGGGACCUUCGGGCCUCUCGCGUCAGGAUAUGCCUAGGUGGGAUUAGCUAGUUGGUGAGGUAAGGGCUCACCAAGGCGACGAUCCCUAGCUGGUCUGAGAGGAUGAUCAGCCACACUGGAACUGAGACACGGUCCAGACUCCUACGGGAGGCAGCAGUGGGGAAUAUUGCACAAUGGGCGCAAGCCUGAUGCAGCCAUGCCGCGUGUAUGAAGAAGGCCUUCGGGUUGUAAAGUACUUUCAGUCGUGAGGAAGGCGGCGUCGUUAAUAGCGGCGUUGUUUGACGUUAGCGACAGAAGAAGCACCGGCUAACUCCGUGCCAGCAGCCGCGGUAAUACGGAGGGUGCGAGCGUUAAUCGGAAUUACUGGGCGUAAAGCGCAUGCAGGUGGUUUGUUAAGUCAGAUGUGAAAGCCCGGGGCUCAACCUCGGAAUAGCAUUUGAAACUGGCAGACUAGAGUACUGUAGAGGGGGGUAGAAUUUCAGGUGUAGCGGUGAAAUGCGUAGAGAUCUGAAGGAAUACCGGUGGC